CGGGGUGAGUAACGCGUAGGAACCUAUCGCACAGUGGGGGAUAACACUGGGAAACCGGUGCUAAUACCGCAUGUGGUCAGCGAUGAAGAAAGCAGCAAUGCGCUGUGUGAGGGGCCUGCGUCCGAUUAGCUAGUUGGUGGGGUAAGGGCCUACCAAGGCGACGAUCGGUAGCUGGUCUGAGAGGAUGGUCAGCCACACUGGGACUGAGACACGGCCCAG
rnacentral:rRNA from 1 species